rnacentral:rRNA from 1 species
UUGAACGCUGGCGGUAUGCUUUACACAUGCAAGUCGAACGUGAAGCCACCUUCGGGUGGUGGAAAGUGGCAGACGGGUGAGUAACGCGUGGGAACGUGCCUUUCGGUUCGGGAUAACCCAGGGAAACUUGGGCUAAUACCGGAUACGCCCUUCGGGGGAAAGAUUCAUUGCCGAAAGAUCGGCCCGCGUCGGAUUAGCUAGUUGGUGGGGUAAAAGCCUACCAAGGCGACGAUCCGUAGCUGGUCUGAGAGGAUGACCAGCCACACUGGGACUGAGACACGGCCCAGACUCCUACGGGAGGCAGCAGUGGGGAAUAUUGGACAAUGGGCGCAAGCCUGAUCCAGCCAUGCCGCGUGGGUGAAGAAGGCCCUAGGGUUGUAAACCCCUUUCAGCGGGGAAGAUAAUGACGGUACCCGCAGAAGAAGCCCCGGCUAACUCCGUGC